UACGUAGGAGGCAAGCGUUGUCCGGAAUUACUGGGCGUAAAGCGCGUGUAGGUGGUGGGACAAGUCUGCUGUGAAAGCGCCUGGCUUAACCGGGCGAGGUCGGCGGAAACUGUCCGACUCGAGGACGGUAGAGGGGGGUGGAAUUCCCGGUGUAGUGGUGAAAUGCGUAGAUAUUGGGAGGAACACCAGUGGCGAAGGCGGCUCACUGGACCGGUUCUGACGCUGAGGCGCGAAAGCGUGGGGAGCAAACGGG
rnacentral:rRNA from 1 species